ACUAAGUUAUAGCCAUAAGCGUAAAAUAAAUAGAACACUACCAUAUCAAGCACAAACGCAUCCCAUAAACUUAUGGUCUAAAAACCACAACUAAAAGUUAGUUUCCAUCUGAUUUCCUGAUACAUAUAUAAUAUCGCAACUACUCCUUUAAGGAAUUCUUACAAACUCUUACAAAUUCUCUCUUAAUGAAAAAUGCCAUCUUUAGUAUAAUUUUAUUCAUAAAGAUAUUUUA
rnacentral:misc_RNA from 1 species